GUAAACAGCUCAAAAAAAAAAAAAAAGUAAGUAAAUAAAACCCGCAAGAUUUAAAGAGUUAGAAACAGGUUGAGAAAAAGAGCCGAAAGAUCAGAGUCCCACUUCUACCCUCCUUCCUCCCAGGUUAUUGACUACUGCUGAUGGAUGAGGCGAAAUACUCACAGUGCCACGAAGAAAUGAAUUCGCUGGUACUGCCAGGAGAAGAGACCAGCGCGGCUAAAAUAGGCGAUGACCAUGGACAAGAGAUACUGGCGGAAAGAGGAGAAAAGCCGUCAUAGAAGGGUCCCAUCCUGGGAGAGGAAGACCAGUGAGGAAAAACGAAUAAGGUUGGAGGGUGCUGUUCCUACCGAGCAGCCUGUUGAACGCCUCGUGGUGCUCAGGGAGCACUGAAGAUACCCGCUGUCUCUUCAGCUUCAUCUUGAGUCCCCUCAGUGUCUCCACCACCCAGAUGUCGUUGGCCUCAGGGGCUGUCUCCUCGUCGGAUUCGAUGUCUCUCUUCCUUCCGCGGGACUGAGGCAAGGGGCAGGGGUCUACAAAGGGGGCUGAGUGAAGAAACCAGGCUACAGUACGAAGCUUCUUCUGUCUUUGGAAUUCAGCCACGCUUUCCACACCCGCAAACCCAAACUCCCUCUUCAUUCUCUGUAGCCUCAUAGAUGAUUGGCCUCUCCAAAACCACCUUUCAUCUUUGUCCUUCAUUCAUAUGCAUUUGCCCCCAUUCAUCUUUGCCACUGUUUCAUACCUCCCACCACGCCCUCAAAACUCUUCCUCGUAGAUCAUUUCUCCCAUGAGGAUAAUGGGAUAAUGUCCUCUCUUCCUUUCUCUCAUCUUUGGAUCUCAUCACCUAACCCUCCUUCCUUGCUUCCUGGGUUUUCCUGCCAGUGGGAUACCCUUGUCCCCGGCUCCCGUGCUCUCUUCUCCAAUCCCUGGCUUUCUGAAUCUCUCCUGUCACGUGCAGUCUAGUCAGACACACCUUCCUGGCUUCUGUACCCAUUUGUACUCACUAGUCAAGCCUGUCAAGGCUUCUCCCUCCUGCUUCUCCCUCCUGCCUCCUCACCUGAUGGUCCUGGGCUUUCUUCAUCUACCACGGCCUCCGGGGGGUACCCUGAUGUGCUAGGCUGGGGGCUCUGGCCCUCAGACUGGGCGGACGGUUGACAACUGGCCAUGAUUUCUCCCAAGCUCUUUGCGCCCUCCCAGGAGACUCAGACCCUCCUCUUCUCAAACUCCCCUUCUGGCUUCUGGGUGAACCCAAGCCCUGUUAUCCCUUCUCUAAGCUGGGGCCAAGCUAGGAGUAUGGACAUGCUCUGCGAAGAUGCUCUUGUCCACCUCCGUUGCCAAGAACCACGGAGUCCAGUCUUUCCAAUCAGGAAGGUCAGAAGCCUCUGAUGUCAUGCACCAUUCCAGCCUGGCAGCCAUUUUGAAGGAAGACACGUGCAACUGCGAGACCGAGGUCCACUUCUGGAGUUCAGGAUCAAGGCUAUCUCAAGUCGCCGAUCCGGCCUGCAGCCAUCCUCCAAAACGGUCCUCGGGGUGUCUGGAUCACUCUACUCCUCUCCAGCAGAUGCGGGGCUCUCUGCAUCCUUCUAUUCCUGUUUCAGGGUGCAGUCUGGCAGGAGAGGGAGGAAACAGACGAGGGAAGACCUCGAGACGCCCUAGGAAGACGGCUUGCAGUGCUAACUCACAGAACAGAAUUCUGGGAUGGGGAGACGGGAAGAGGUUCUGGAUACCGACUUCGAAGAUCUGGUGUCUGAAGCUCAGUAUUAAAGGGAAAAUCUGGACACAAACAUCCAAGUAGAGAGAAGAGAGUGUGAUGACACAGGGAGAGAAGACUGACAUCUACCAGCCAGGGAGGGAGGAUGCAAGAGCCCCUCCCCCACAGCACUCAGAAGGAACCAGCCCUGCCCACACCUGAAUCUCAGACUCCCAGCCUCCAGAACAGUGAGAGAAUGUAUUUUUGUCGUGCCCACACCUGAAUCUCAGACUCCCAGCCUCCAGAACAGUGAGACCAUGCAUUUUUGUCGUGAACGCCUGAAAGCUGCCUGGUUUGUCUUACUUUGUUACAGCUUCCCUGUAGGCAGAUCCAACCAGUAUUUUUGAAGAAGAGGGAAUUCAGAUUUGACAGUCACUUUCCUGAUCCUUCUGCUGCCCCUUUCCCUAAGGCAAGACGCGUCCAUGUCCAGAGGCUUCAAAGAAGAACCGGUUCUUUCACACAGAUUAGAACCUUGAAUGCCUCUGGCAUUUCCUGGUCAAGGUGACUGUGUUCAUUUUGGAAAACAAGGUGGAAAGACUUCAAGAGAAGAAUGAUUUACAAAUCUUGAAGAUGGGUGCCAGUUAGCUUAAUAAAACUGAUGCAUUAAAGAGAGAAAAAUAAACGGGAGCAAACCGAGGCGACUACUUAGGAAAUUAAGGGUGGGAAAGGCUUCUUCAAAGACAGUGUCUAAGCAGAUGAAAAGUAUGAAGAGGAAGUGAACGAUUUGAACACAGAAACAAUAUCCAUAUGACAGAAAAUAAAGUAAAACAUUAGGUUACAAAGAUCAAUGACUUGGGUCGCCUGGGUGGCUUUGCAGUUUGGUCGCUGCCUUCUGGCCAGGGCAUGGUCCUGGGGUCCCGAGAUCCAGAUUGGCCCCCGUCGGGCUCCCCUUGGGGAGCCGGCUUCUCCCUCCACCUGUGUCUCUGCCUCUCUGUGUGCGUCUCUCAUGAAUGAAUGAAUGAAUAAAGCUCGAUGAUAAAUUGGGAGAAA